CCUACGGGAGGCAGCAGUGAGGAAUAUUGGUCAAUGGCCGUAAGGCUGAACCAGCCAAGUCGCGUGAAGGAAGAAGGAUCUAUGGUUUGUAAACUUCGUUUAUAGGGGAAUAAAGGUAUCCACGUGUGGAUCUUUGCAUGUACCCUAUGAAUAAGCAUCGGCUAACUCCGUGCCAGCAGCCGCGGUAAUACGGUGGAUGCGAGCGUUAUCCGGAUUUAUUGGGCUUAAAGGGUGCGUAGGUUGUUUUUUAAGUCAGCGGUGAAAGUUUGUGGCUCAACCAUAAAAUUGCCGUUGAAACUGGAAGACUUGAGUGUGUUUGAGGUAGGCGGAAUGCGUGGUGUAGCGGUGAAAUGCAUAGAUAUCACGCAGAACUCCGAUUGCGAAGGGAGCUUACUAAGCCAUAACUGACACUGAAGCACGAAAGCGUGGGGAUCAAACAGGAUUAGAUACCCUUGUAGUC
rnacentral:rRNA from 1 species